UACGUAGGGUGCGAGCGUUGUCCGGAAUUAUUGGGCGUAAAGGGCUCGUAGGCGGUUUGUCGCGUCGGGAGUGAAAACUCAGGGCUUAACCCUGAGCCUGCUUCCGAUACGGGCAGACUAGAGGUAUGCAGGGGAGAACGGAAUUCCUGGUGUAGCGGUGAAAUGCGCAGAUAUCAGGAGGAACACCCGUAGCGAAGGCGGCACUCUGGGCCGAUUCUGACACUGAGGAGCGAAAGCGUGGGGAGCGAACAGG
rnacentral:rRNA from 1 species